GAAGCUGGGUUAGGCCGAGUCAU
rnacentral:miRNA from 1 species